UACGUAGGGUGCAAGCGUUGUCCGGAAUUAUUGGGCGUAAAGAGCUCGUAGGCGGUUCGUCGCGUCGGCUGUGAAAUCCCGAGGCUCAACCUCGGGUCUGCAGUCGAUACUGGCAGGCUGGAGUUCGGUAGGGGAGACUGGAAUUCCUGGUGUAGCGGUGAAAUGCGCAGAUAUCAGGAGGAACACCGAUGGCGAAGGCAGGUCUCUGGGCCGAUACUGACGCUGAGGAGCGAAAGCGUGGGGAGCGAACAGG
rnacentral:rRNA from 1 species